rnacentral:rRNA from 1 species
CCUACGGGAGGCUGCAGUGGGGAAUAUUGGACAAUGGGCGAAAGCCUGAUCCAGCCAUGCCGCGUGUGUGAAGAAGGCCUUCGGGUUGUAAAGCACUUUCAGUGGGGAAGAAAGCCUUGGGGCUAAUACCCUCGAGGAAGGACAUCACCCACAGAAGAAGCACCGGCUAACUCCGUGCCAGCAGCCGCGGUAAUACGGAGGGUGCGAGCGUUAAUCGGAAUUACUGGGCGUAAAGCGCGCGUAGGCGGUCUGAUAAGCCGGUUGUGAAAGCCCCGGGCUCAACCUGGGAACGGCAUCCGGAACUGUCAGGCUAGAGUGCAGGCGAGGAAGGUAGAAUUCCCGGUGUAGCGGUGAAAUGCGUAGAGAUCGGGAGGAAUACCAGUGGCGAAGGCGGCCUUCUGGACUGACACUGACGCUGAGGUGCGAAAGCGUGGGUAGCAAACAGGAUUAGAUACCCUUGUAGUC